rnacentral:rRNA from 1 species
UACGUAGGGCGCAAGCGUUAUCCGGAAUUAUUGGGCGUAAAGAGCUCGUAGGCGGUUUGUCGCGUCUGCCGUGAAAGUCCGGGGCUCAACUCCGGAUCUGCGGUGGGUACGGGCAGACUAGAGUGAUGUAGGGGAGACUGGAAUUCUCGGUGUAGCGGUGAAAUGCGUAGAUAUCGAGAGGAACACCUGCGGCGAAGGCGGGUUGCUGGGCCGACACUGACGCUGAGGCGCGAAAGCCAGGGGAGCGAACGGG